rnacentral:rRNA from 1 species
UUGAACUGGAGAGUUUGAUUCUGGCUCAGAUUGAACGCUGGCGGCGUGCUUAACACAUGCAAGUCGUACGCGAAAGGGACUUCGGUCCCGAGUAAAGUGGCGCACGGGUGAGUAACACGUGGAUAAUCUGCCUCUAUGAUGGGGAUAACAGUUGGAAACGACUGCUAAUACCGAAUACGCUCAU